rnacentral:lncRNA from 1 species
UAAUGCUUUGUGUAGGCAUUCAAAUAAAGCUGGGUUUACUUCAUUCUUCCUUAUUUGGCUUGGCAUUUGGUGACUGCAAGUGCACAAGCUAAGGCUACAUUCAGUUUAAAUUUACCUUUUUCUUUGAAGUCAGGUUUUGGUAGCUGAUCUAGUUUCUUUUGUACUUUUGUCCUAUGGUGAUUGAACAUCAGGUGAGUGAGCCUCUAGCCCUGAAGGAGUCUUGCUGUCUUCUAUGGCCUUGACUAUGUCAGUGACCUGUUUUUAAAACUCCUCUAGUACAGAUUUCUUUUCUUUCCAGAACAGGCUGUGCAUUUUUCCCUGCAGAUUUUACCCUCUUUUAUCUAGCUUGUGAAGCUUGUCAGUACUGUCAUACUGUACUGUUUUUUCUUCCUUGUACUGUGUCAUGUCCUUACUUAAGAUAGUGUUCUCUCGCUCUUGAGAUCUCAUGUUAUGGAGAGCCUCCCAGCAUUUGCUUUCAUUUUGUCUCCUUUUAUGUGCACAACUCCUUUUUCUCUUUUUCUUUUCUUCUUCUUCUUUUUUUUUUUAAUUCCUUUCUGGAUUCUUACCUUUUUUAUGCCUUUGUUAUUUUAGGAGCAUUACAAAGACUUUUCUUAAAGGUAUGCUUUGAUGUAACAGGAAAUUGUAUACUCCUCUCUCCUUCAACUUUGCUCUCCUAGAAAAGUUUAUUAUCUCUGUUGACCAACGUGAUGGCAUCUUCACUUUAGGCUCAUGAUCCACGUGGAUGAUCUAUAAUUAAAACAACUUGAUUUCUUGGUCUGCGUUUAUUUUAACCCAUCUGGCAUCCUGUAAAGUGUGGUAGACCAGAUAGACUCAGAUUGCAUCUUCUUAAGGCUUUCCUGGCUAUCAUUUUCAGCACUCCUUAGUUUUCUCAGGUUAUUUUUCUUGUUAACACUUAAUGCUGUAUUGAGUAUAGUUGAUUCUCUGUUUCUACAAGGUUGAAAAUAUUCAUGGAAGAAUCUGUUAUGAGUAUGUUGUAUUAGUUAUAAUAACUAAUCUUUCUGUGUUAUGAAGUAUGCAAGAUCAUAUAUAUCAAUUAUAUGCACAUCUUGUUCCAUUUUAUAUAAGAGGCUGUAGCAUCUGUUGAUUUUGGCAUCCUUAAGGCAGUCUUGGAACAAACUUAGACACUGAGUUUUAUGUCUCUACCAUCAGCUCAGUGAGGACAAUGUUUUUUGUUUGCUUUGUUUAGUACCCAAUUCUUAAGGGUUGGUUGGUGCUAAAUAAAUAACUAAAUGGAAAGUUAAUGAAUAUUCUGCCCAUUUCUAGUGUCUGUAGUGAUUUUUAGUCUCUCUUUUCUGACAUGGAGGCAUUUAGAAAGCUUAACUCCCUGACUCUGUUUCUUUCUGGCUAAGUAACCUUUUGUUCCCUCUGGUUGGUUGAGAAAGGAACAUUUUAUGUUGAAAUUGAGGAUAAGAAUUUAAUUUCAUUUAAUGUUUUUUAACAUUCAAAUUAAUUGUGUGCACUAUGAGUACAACUCCAUUUAGGUCUGACCAAAUGCUUCAGCUUUACAGCAUCCUGGUUUCUACGACAUCUUUGGCUAGGUUUCUUCAUGUUCAUUUCCACUAUUGUCUCUUAAUGUGUAAUCUAGGGAGGUAAUACUUCAUAUAAAACUAUCUUAGCUCUGAUGUUCAUUAGCCGUUGUGAGAAACUGAUUCCUAGUUUGGAAGGUUUGCAGGCUGGGUACAGUUAUAUUCAGAUGCACUGAUCUGGAGAAAUCCUCACUUACACCCUUUAAGAUUCUGGCAGAUGAAAGUCUAUGUAACUGUUUAGCCUGUGUUGUGUAUUAGUAUGCAAGUAAGUACAGAAGCAGAGUUGCUAGGAUUAUGUGGUGAUGGUUGCUAGCUAAAGUGUGACAGUAAAUGGGAAUAACUUACUAAGUAGGGAUGAAAAAUGAUUACUAGACUACUAAGAAAUAGGUCCUUUCAAGGGAAUUUUAAAUCAAGGUGGCAGAUAUAAUGUAUAUUUUAAACAUCAAAGAAAAAUAGAGGUGGGCUCGUUUUUUCUGAACUAAACUAUUAACGUAUACCCGUCUGUCCU